CCCCAGGAUCCAUGGAAAAAGUCGAGGUCUAUCCGAGAGCGGAUCUUUGUAGAAAGGCAUCACGAUUGAAUGAUAGAGUAGAGUGGGUCGCUUACUUAGCCGCAGCGGGCCGUGGCCAAUUGGGCAAGCACUCAGAUAGUUAUCCGAUCAUCCAAGUAUGGGAAUAGGACCCCAAGCCCUUCUCUAUCAAUUCCAACCUUUCGCCCGGUCGCUAACCUAUCUUUUUGAGUCCCUUUGUUCGCCCUUCUUUCCUGCCAGUAGUGUAGGCGGAGGACUUUAUUUACGCUAUUUCGUCAAAUUAGAAGUUUGCAGGCAAGGACAAAAAGAUGUUCUUUCCUACUUACUAUAGGUAGCUGCGUCUCCUAGAAGAUCUUGGCAUCAAAGAUCCUUUUCCCGAAGCAAAAAAAANN
rnacentral:lncRNA from 1 species